rnacentral:rRNA from 1 species
GACGAACGCUGGCGGCGUGCCUAAUACAUGCAAGUAGAACGCUGAGGUUUGGUGUUUACACUAGACUGAUGAGUUGCGAACGGGUGAGUAACGCGUAGGUAACCUGCCUCAUAGCGGGGGAUAACUAUUGGAAACGAUAGCUAAUACCGCAUAAGAGUAAUUAACACAUGUUGGUUAUUUAAAAGGAGCAAUUGCUUCACUGUGAGAUGGACCUGCGUUGUAUUAGCUAGUUGGUGAGGUAAAGGCUCACCAAGGCGACGAUACAUAGCCGACCUGAGAGGGUGAUCGGCCACACUGGGACUGAGACACGGCCCAGACUCCUACGGGAGGCAGCAGUAGGGAAUCUUCGGCAAUGGACGGAAGUCUGACCGAGCAACGCCGCGUGAGUGAAGAAGGUUUUCGGAUCGUAAAGCUCUGUUGUUAGAGAAGAACGUUGGUAGGAGUGGAAAAUCUACCAAGUGACGGUAACUAACCAGAAAGGGACGGCUAACUACGUGCCAGCAGCCGCGGUAAUACGUAGGUCCCGAGCGUUGUCCGGAUUUAUUGGGCGUAAAGCGAGCGCAGGCGGUUCUUUAAGUCUGAAAUUAAAGGCAGUGGCUUAACCAUUGUACGCUUUGGAAACUGGAGGACUUGAGUGCAGAAGGGGAGAGUGGAAUUCCAUGUGUAGCGGUGAAAUGCGUAGAUAUAUGGAGGAACACCGGUGGCGAAAGCGGCUCUCUGGUCUGUAACUGACGCUGAGGCUCGAAAGCGUGGGGAGCAAACAGG